rnacentral:rRNA from 1 species
CAGCCGCCGCGGGAAUACGGAGGGAGCUAGCGUUGUUCGGAAUUACUGGGCGUAAAGCGCGCGUAGGCGGUUACUCAAGUCAGAGGUGAAAGCCCGGGGCUCAACCCCGGAACUGCCUUUGAAACUAGGUGACUAGAAUCUUGGAGAGGUCAGUGGAAUUCCGAGUGUAAAGGUGAAAUUCGUAGAUAUUCGGAAGAACACCAGUGGCGAAGGCGACUGACUGGACAAGUAUUGACGCUGAGGUGCGAAAGCGUGGGGAGCAAACAGGAUUAGAGACCCCAGUAGUCCCUGUCUCUUAUAC